AGCAGCCGCGGUAAUUCCAGCUCCAAUAGCGUAUAUUAAAGUUGUUGCAGUUAAAAAGCUCGUAGUUGAAUUUCGGGAUCAAUAUAUCGGUCGUACCUUGGUACGUACUGGUAUCAUUGGUUUCUCCUUUCUGACGAACCAUGAUGUCAUUAAUUUGGUGUUAUGGGAAGUUAGGACUGUUACUUUGAAAAAUUAGAGUGUUUAAAGCAGGCUUUAGCUUGAAUACAUUAGCAUGGAAUAAUGAAAUAGGACGUU
rnacentral:rRNA from 1 species